AUUGAACGCUGGCGGCAGGCCUAACACAUGCAAGUCGAGCGGAGCGGCGGACGGGUGAGUAAUGCCUAGGAAUCUGCCUGGUAGUGGGGGAUAACGUCCGGAAACGGGCGCUAAUACCGCAUACUAUCAGAUGAGCCUAGGUCGGAUUAGCUAGUUGGUGGGGUAAAGGCCUACCAAGGCGACGAUCCGUAACUGGUCUGAGAGGAUGAUCACUCACAGUGGAACGGAGAAACGGUCCAGAUUUUUACGGGAGGCAGCAGUGGGGAAUAUUGGAAAAUUGGCGAAAUCCUGAACGAGCCAUGCCACGUGUGUGAAGAAGGUCUUGGGAUUGUAGAGCACUUUAAGCUGAGAGGCGUUACCUACAGAAUAAGCACCGGCUAACUUCGUGGCAGCAGCCUCGGUAAUUU
rnacentral:rRNA from 1 species